GCUCUUUGACAUUUCUUACAGAUAACAGUUGUACUAAUUUAAAAGUAGAUGGUCUCUCAUAGUAAUAACUCUUUAUAUAUUUACAUCUGAUGUCGUUAUAUUUAUCACAUUCUAAAAUAAAAUGAUAUUCAUCUUCAAUAGCAUUUUUAUUACACAUACUACACAAACGUUCAUUUCUGGCUAUACUAUAGUAUCUACCUGUUUCUAUACAUAGUGCAUGAGCAUUUAUUCUAUAUCUAGUAAUAUAAGAUCUAUACAAACUGUUUAAUGGACGACUAAGGUAAAAUUGCAUAGUGUGACCAUCGUGUAAAUACUGAUACAAAGUACAUUUCGGCGAAUUUUCAAAAUAUGAUAAACCUUCAGAUAUAUAAUUAUCUAUUACUCUUUGUUUAAAUUCACUCAAAAAUAAUUGACUGUUUCUAACUCUCUGUGAAAACCAAACAUCACUAAAACCAUAUUUACAUAAUAUAUCUCGUACUUUACAAGACCAAUUUAGCUUGUCAUUUG
rnacentral:lncRNA from 1 species